CCUACGGGAGGCAGCAGUGGGGAAUAUUGGGCAAUGGGCGCAAGCCUGACCCAGCAACGCCGCGUGAAGGAAGAAGGCUUUCGGGUUGUAAACUUCUUUUCUCAGGGACGAAGCAAGUGACGGUACCUGAGGAAUAAGCCACGGCUAACUACGUGCCAGCAGCCGCGGGAAUACGUAGGUGGCAAGCGUUAUCCGGAUUUACUGGGUGUAAAGGGCGAGUAGGCGGGAAAGCAAGUCAGAUGUGAAAACCAUGGGCUCAACCUGUGGCCUGCAUUUGAAACUGUUUUUCUUGAGUACUGGAGAGGCAGACGGAAUUCCGAGUGUAGCGGUGAAAUGCGUAGAUAUUAGGGGGAACACCAGUGGCGAAGGCGGUCUGCUGGACAGCAACUGACGCUGAGGCGCGAAAGCGUGGGGAGCAAACAGGAUUAGAUACCCGAGUAGUC
rnacentral:rRNA from 1 species